rnacentral:rRNA from 1 species
UAUUUUAUAAUGUUAGUUAAUGGUGAAUAAUUAUUAAUAAUUAUAAAUUAGUAGUGAAAUGUUAUUCGAUUUAAAAGAUAUCUAGUUUUUUUAGAAUUGAAUUAAAUUCAUUAUUUUAUAAAUUAUUUUAAUAUUAAAAUUAAAAUAAGUUUUUAAAGUAAAAUUAUUUUAGGGAUAAACUUAGGAAAAUUAUUAAUAAUUAAAAUUUAUUGUGAAUUUAUAAAUAUUUAUAGUAAUAGAAAUUUUUAAAAAGUAUUUUAUAAUUUAUACUUAAAAUAUAAAUAGAUUUUAAUUUGAAUUUUAAAUUUUUAUAAAAAAAUAAUUUAAUAAUUUUUAUUAAGAUAUAAUGAUAAUAUUAGUAAAUAAAAUUGUAAAAUUAAUAAAAAUUAAAAAAUUAAUUUUAAAGAAUUCGACAAAAAUUUUAUUCACCUGUUUAACAAAAACAUGGUUUGUAGAAGUUAAUUAUAAAUCGGUUCUGCCCUAUGAAUAAAAAUUUAAAUGGCUGCGGUAUAUUGACCGUACAAAGGUAGCAAAAUCAAUUGUUUUUUAAUUGAAAACUGGAAUGAAAGAUCUGAUGAAAUAAAAAUUGUUUCAAGAUUAUAUAUUGAAUUUAAAUUUUAAGUUAAAAUGCUUAAAUUUUUUUGUUAGACGAGAAGACCCUAUAGAAUUUAAUAAAAUUUUAUUAUAAAAAUUUUUAUGUAAAUUGAAUUGUUAUAAUAAAUUAUAUUUUGUUGGGAGGACAAUUAAAUUAA